rnacentral:rRNA from 2 species
AUUAAUAAGCGGAGGAAAAGAAACUAACGAGGAUUCCCCUAGUAACGGCGAGUGAAGCGGGAAAAGCCCAGCGCCGAAUCCCGCGCCUCCGGGCGCCGGGAACUGUGGCGUUUGAGCCGAAUCGAAGCGCCGCUAGCUUUCGUCCGAGUCCUCCUGAUAGGGGCUUCGCCCAGAGCGGGUGUCAGGCCUCUGGGACGCGGGCCGGCGGUGCACGAGUCGGUUCGGGAGUCGGGUUGUUUGAGAAUGCAGCCCAAAGCGGGUGGUAAACUCCAUCUAAGGCUAAAUACCGGCGCGAGUCCGAUAGCGAACAAGUACCGUGAGGGAAAGUU